GCACUAAUGGUCUAGUGGUAGAAUUGCCGCUUGCCAUGCGGUAGGCCCGGGUUCGAUUCCCGGUUAGUGCA